GAUGAACGCUGGCGGCGUGCCUAAUACAUGCAAGUCGAGCGAACAGACGAGGAGCUUGCUCCUUUGACGUUAGCGGCGGACGGGUGAGUAACACGUAGGUAACCUACCUAUAAGACUGGGAUAACUUCGGGAAACCGGAGCUAAUACCGGAUAAUAUUUCGAACCGCAUGGUUCGAUAGUGAAAGAUGGCUUUGCUAUCACUUAUAGAUGGACCUGCGCCGUAUUAGCUAGUUGGUAAGGUAACGGCUUACCAAGGCAACGAUACGUAGCCGACCUGAGAGGGUGAUCGGCCACACUGGAACUGAGACACGGUCCAGACUCCUACGGGAGGCAGCAGUAGGGAAUCUUCCGCAAUGGGCGAAAGCCUGACGGAGCAACGCCGCGUGAGUGAUGAAGGUCUUCGGAUCGUAAAACUCUGUUAUGAGGGAAGAACAAACGUGUAAGUAACUGUGCACGUCCUGACGGUACCUAAUCAGAAAGCCACGGCUAACUACGUG
rnacentral:rRNA from 1 species